rnacentral:rRNA from 1 species
ACUUUUGACGGUGGAUCUCUUGGCUCACGCAUCGAUGAAGAACGCAGCCAGCUGCGAUAAGUAGUGUGAAUUGCAGAAUUCAGUGAAUCAUCGAAUCUUUGAACGCAAAUGGCGCUCUUGGGUUCUCCCAGGAGCAUGUCUGUCUGAGAGUCGGAUAU